rnacentral:tRNA from 1 species
CAAAGUGUAGCUUAACCUCAAAGCAUCUGGCCUACACCCAGAAGACUUCAUAAUAUAUGACCACUUUGA